rnacentral:tRNA from 1 species
GGCAGCAUGGUGUAGUGGUUUGAGUGUUGGACUAUGACUUUGGAGACCAGGGUUCAAUUCCCCACUCAGCCA